CAGUUGUGACACUAAGAGAU
rnacentral:snRNA from 1 species